rnacentral:tRNA from 1 species
UCUAAUAUGGCAGAUUAGUGCAAUGGAUUUAAACCCCAAAUAUAAAGAAACUCUUUUUUUAGAA